rnacentral:rRNA from 1 species
GAGUUUGAUCCUGGCUCAGAGUGAACGCUGGCGGUAGGCCUAACACAUGCAAGUCGAACGGCAGCACAGGGAGAGCUUGCUCUCUGGGUGGCGAGUGGCGGACGGGUGAGGAAUACAUCGGAAUCUACCUUGUCGUGGGGGAUAACGUAGGGAAACUUACGCUAAUACCGCAUACGACCUACGGGUGAAAGUGGGGGACCGCAAGGCCUCACGCGAUUAGAUGAGCCGAUGUCGGAUUAGCUAGUUGGCGGGGUAAAAGCCCACCAAGGCGACGAUCCGUAGCUGGUCUGAGAGGAUGAUCAGCCACACUGGAACUGAGACACGGUCCAGACUCCUACGGGAGGCAGCAGUGGGGAAUAUUGGACAAUGGGCGCAAGCCUGAUCCAGCCAUACCGCGUGGGUGAAGAAGGCCUUCGGGUUGUAAAGCCCUUUUGUUGGGAAAGAAAUCCUGUCGGUUAAUACCUGGCGGGGAUGACGGUACCCAAAGAAUAAGCACCGGCUAACUUCGUGCCAGCAGCCGCGGUAAUACGAAGGGUGCAAGCGUUACUCGGAAUUACUGGGCGUAAAGCGUGCGUA